rnacentral:sRNA from 1 species
ACUUACACUAGCAGAAGCACAUAAAAUGACAUUUUGAUUUUAAUAUAAACGCAAUCGAGGAUGAUCACAAUAAGGAAGGAUAAAAGGUGUAAAUGGAAGAAAAAGAAAUACACAGUAGAGAACAUGAUUUGUUUUUUUCAAUGCAUUUGGGGCAAUGUCUUUUAGCCUCAUGGUUUAUUGAAUAUCUAACAAGAAAUAGACAACUUCAGCAGCUCAGGAUCCCAAAGCCAGGCCCAGCAAUUGGAGAUGGAAUUCGAGUGAAACUCCGUUUGCAACAGGAAAGCAGAUAUUCCUAUAUACAUACAUAGAUAUAUAGAUAUAUAUAUGCAAUAAUUAAUAUAUAUUGAUAUAGAUAUAGAUAUAUGUAUGUAUAUAUAUAGGUACGUUUGCUGCCGCUUAGGCAAAGGCAAAUACACAUACUAAAGAUGAAGAACUGAAUAAUAUGUCUU